rnacentral:rRNA from 1 species
UAUAAGCAAUCUAUACUGUGAAACUGCGAAUGGCUCAUUAAAUCAGUUAUCGUUUAUUUGAUAGUACCUUACUACUUGGAUAACCGUGGUAAUUCUAGAGCUAAUACAUGCUAAAAACCCCGACUUCGGAAGGGGUGUAUUUAUUAGAUAAAAAACCAAUGCCCUUCGGGGCUCCUUGGUGAAUCAUGAUAACUUAACGAAUCGCAUGGCCUUGCGCCGGCGAUGGUUCAUUCAAAUUUCUGCCCUAUCAACUUUCGAUUGUAGGAUAGUGGCCUACAAUGGUUUCAACGGGUAACGGGGAAUUAGGGUUCUAUUCCGGAGAGGGAGCCUGAGAAACGGCUACCACAUCCAAGGAAGGCAGCAGGCGCGCAAAUUACCCAAUCCCGAUACGGGGAGGUAGUGACAAUAAAUACUGAUACAGGGCUCUUUUGGGUCUUGUAAUUGGAAUGAGUACAAUUUAAAUACCUUAACGAGGAACAAUUGGAGGGCAAGUCUGGUGCCAGCAGCCGCGGUAAUUCCAGCUCCAAUAGCGUAUAUUAAAGUUGUUGCAGUUAAAAAGCUCGUAGUUGAACCUUGGGCCUGGCUGGCCGGUCUGCCUCACCGCAUGUACUGGUUCGGCCGGGUCUUUCCUCCUGGGGAUCCGCAUGCCCUUCACUGGGUGUGUUGGGGAACCAGGACUUUUACUUUGAAAAAAUUAGAGUGUUCAAAGCAGGCCUUUGCUCGAAUACAUUAGCAUGGAAUAAUAGAAUAGGACGUGCGGUCCUAUUUUGUUGGUUUCUAGGACCGCCGUAAUGAUUAAUAGGGAUAGUCGGGGGCAUCAGUAUUCAGUUGUCAGAGGUGAAAUUCUUGGAUUUACUGAAGACUAACUACUGCGAAAGCAUUUGCCAAGGAUGUUUUCAUUAAUCAGUGAACGAAAGUUAGGGGAUCGAAGACGAUCAGAUACCGUCGUAGUCUUAACCGUAAACUAUGCCGACUAGGGAUCGGGCGAUGUUAUUCUUUUGACUCGCUCGGCACCUUACGAGAAAUCAAAGUC